GCAGACACAUUCCAGCCAAUCAGCAGCAGACCCUCCCUCCCAGACCCUCCCACCUCCUGGACAGCACAUUUCACAUUCAUUGUGAAGCUGCAUUCUUAGUGAGCUGUCCAGGAGGUGGGAGGGUCUGGGAGGGAGGGUCUGCUGCUGAUUGGCUGGAAUGUGUCUG